AUUGUACGCUGGCGGCAUGCCUUACACAUGCAAGUCGAACGAGUGGCGGACGGGUGAGUAAUGUCUGGGAAACUGCCUGAUUGAGGGGGAUAAAUACUGGAACCGGUAGCUAAUACCGCAUACCAUCAGAGGUGCCCAGAUGGGAUUAGCGUGUUGGUGGGGUAAAGGCUCACCAAGGCGACGAGCCCUAGCUGGUCUGAGAGGAUGACCAGCAACACUGGGACGGAGACACGGCCCAGACGCCUACGGGAGGCAGCAGUGGGGAAUAUUGCACAAUGGGCGCAAGCCUGAUGCAGCCAUGCCGCGUGUAUGAAGAAGGCCUUCGGGUUGUAAAGUACUUUCAGCGGGGAGGCGUUACCCGCAGAAGAAGCACCGGCUAACUCCGUGCCAGCAGCCGCGGUAAUUC
rnacentral:rRNA from 1 species